rnacentral:rRNA from 1 species
GACGAACGCUGGCGGCGUGCCUAAUACAUGCAAGUAGAACGCUGAAGGAGGAUCUUGCUUCUCUGGAUGAGUUGCGAACGGGUGAGUAACGCGUAGGUAACCUGCCUGUUAGUGGGGGAUAACUAUUGGAAACGAUAGCUAAUACCGCAUAAUAGCAGUUGUUGCAUGAUAACUGUUUGAAAGGUGCAAUUGCACCGCUACCAGAUGGACCUGCGUUGUAUUAGCUAGUUGGUGGGGUAACGGCUCACUAAGGCGACGAUACAUAGCCGCCCUGGGAGGGUGAUCGGCCACACUUGGACUGAGACACGGCCCAGAAGCCUACGGGAGGCAGCAGUAGGGAAUCUUCGGCAAUGGACGGAAGUCUGACCGAGCAACGCCGCGUGAGUGAAGAAGGUUGUCGGAUCCGAGAGCUCUGUUUUAAGGGAGGAACGCGAGUGAGAGUGGAAAGUACACACUGUGACGGUAUCUUACCAGAAAGGGACGGCUCACUACGUG